rnacentral:tRNA from 1 species
GCAGUUGUGGUUCAGCGGUAGAAUUCUCGCCUUCCGCGUGGGAGACCUGGGUUAGAUUCCCAACCAGUGUG